rnacentral:rRNA from 1 species
UACAUGGGGUGCAAACGUUGCUCGGCAUUAUUGGGCGUAAAGCGCACGUAGGCGGUUUGUUAAGUCGGAUGCGAAAUCCCUCGGCUCAACUGAGGAAGUGCAUCCGAAACUGGCAAGCUUGAGUACGAAAGAGGGUCGCGGAAUUCCCGGUGUAGAGGUGAAAUUCGUAGAUAUCGGGAGGAACACCGGUGGCGAAGGCGGCGACCUGGGCCUGCACUGACGCUCAUGCACGAAAGCGUGGGGAGCAAACAGG